UACCUGCAGCUCAAGUGGUGAUCGUUAUUAUUGGGCCUAAAACGUCCGUAGCCGGUCUUGUAAAUGCCUGGGUAAAUCGUAUGGCUUAACCAUACGAAUUCUGGGUAGACUGUUAGACUUGAGACCGGGAGAAGCUAGAGGUACUCCUGGGGUAGAGGUGAAAUUCUGUAAUCCUAGGGGGACCACCAGUGGCGAAGGCGUCUAGCUAGAACGGGUCUGACGGUGGAGGGACGAAGCCCGUGGGGCGACGAAACGGGAUUAGAUACCCCGGUAGUCCAGGGUGUAAACGUUGCUUGCUUGAUGUUAGUCGAGCUCCGAGCUCGAUUAGUGUCGGAGAGAAGUUGUUAAGCAAGCUGCCUGGGAAGUACGGCCGCAAGACUAGAAACUUAAAGGAAUUGGGCGGGGGAGCACAGCAACGGGUGGAGCGUGCGGUUU
rnacentral:rRNA from 1 species